rfam:Gossypium arboreum cultivar AKA8401 contig_45423_3, whole genome shotgun sequence.
AAUCCAUGCAUCGAAAAUUUCUGAAUUAAGUCUUUAAAUCGUUCCCAAGCUUCAUAUAAUGUUUCAUCCUCUGAGUGCUGAAAAUGUGUGAUUUCAUUUCUAAGCUU